GGGCCCUUGUAAGUACUGAACUUUGAGCUUCAGGCAGCACAACUCACAUUUGUGCAGAGAGCUACAUGCCACAUGCUGUUCUCCAGCUUGCUGUGCAUAUUUGUGGCCUUCAGCUACUCUGGAUUCAGUGUGGCCCAGAAGGUUACUCAAGCCCAGUCAUCAGUAUCCACGCCAGUGGAAAGAGCAGUCACCUUGAACUGCCAGUAUGAAACAAAUUCGUGGUCAUAUUAUAUUUUUUGGUACAAGCAACUUCCCAGCAAAGAGAUGAUUUUCCUUAUUCGCCAGGGUUCUUCUGAACAGAAUGCAAAAAAUGGUCGCUAUUCUGUCAACUUGGAGACAGCAGCUAGCUCCAUCACCUUAACCAUUUCAGCCUUACAGCUAGAAGGCUCAGCAACGUACUUCUGCGCUCUCUGGGAAGGGUAUACUGGGGGGAUACUCCCUGAUAAACUCAUCUUUGGAAAAGGAACCCGUGUGACUGUGGAACCAGAAAGACAACCUCAUACCAAACCAUCCGUUUUCGUCAUGAAAAAUGGAACAAAUGUCGCUUGUCUGGUGAAAGACUUCUACCCCAAGGAUAUAAGAAUAAAUCUCGAGUCAUCCAAGAAGAUAAUAGAGUUUGAUCCUGCUAUUGUCGUCUCUCCCAGCGGGAAGUACAAUGCUGUCAAGCUUGGUCAAUAUGCAGAUUCAAAUUCAGUGACAUGUUCAGUUCAACACAACAAGGAACUUGUGUACUCCACUGACUUUGAAGUGAAGACAAAUUCUACAGAUCACCUAAAACCAACGGAAACUGAAAACACAAAGCAACCUUCAAAGAGCUGCCAUGAACCCAAAGUUCAUGCCGAGAAGGUGAACAUGAUGUCUCUCACAGUGCUGGGACUACGCAUGCUGUUUGCAAAGAGUGUUGCCAUCAAUUUUCUCUUGACUGCCAAGUUACUUUUCUUGUAAGGCUGACUGGCAUGAGGAAGCUACACUCCUGAAGAAACCAAAGGCUUACAAAAAUGCAUCUCCUUGGCUUCUGACUUCUUGAUGAUUCAAGUUGACCUGUCAUAGCCUUGUUAAAAUGGCUGCUAGCCCAACCAAUUUUUCUUCGAAGACAACAAACCCAGCUCAUCCUCCAGCUUGGUGGGAAGACAAAAGUCCUGGGGAAGGGGGAUUUAUGUCCUGACUGCUUUAUAUGCUGUUUUUAUACAGGGAUAGAAGGAUAUAAAAAGAUAUAUGACACGUUUUUUUACCCCUACAACUGAUACACUUUGAAAAUGAUGUUUUGUUCUUUUUGACUUUCUUUACCUUUUGAAGUAGAAAGUGAGAACCAAAAGGUUCACAGCUUCAUCCUCAUGAGGAAAAUAGGCCCUGGGAGAAGAAGAGUGGGUGCCCUUUUGUCUAAACAUGGAAGACUGUGCUCAACUGAGCACUAGAUUUGCUACAAACCAGCAUCAUCUUCUUCCUCCUGUCCUCACAGCUUGUUCCAUUCUCUAUGUUCACUUCAGGAGCCACACUAGAGAUUCUGCAUGGCAUGGAGGGGGGCAAAGUUUUAGCACUUUCUGCAUUUCCUAGUACUUUACAAAUGAGAUUACAUUUGAAUUUGCUAAUACUUUAUGAGCAGGCAAUGGAGUUUCCAAAAUCUCAUCUAAAUACUCUCCAGACUAUUAGCAAAAAUCAGAGUAAAAUACAGAGGAAAGGCACUGCUUUCUGUUAAUUGAUUUAACAUGCAUAAAUUAGCUCACUCUGAGUUCCAGGCACUGUACUAAGAGUACAAAGAAGACAUGUCUGCUUUCAAGCAACUCCCUGUGAAAGUGUUUUUGAAGGGAGGAACAGAAAUGGGACCCCUAUUUUUCUCUACAAAAACAACAUUUUUACUGUCUUUUGCCUGCCAAUCUGUGUUUGAAACCAUUGCACACUGAUUCUCUGGCCUGGUACUUUGGUAUUGAUGGUUUUCUGCCUUUCUUCUCAGCCCCUGCCUCUGUUGCAUUUAUUAAACUGCAUUGUGUGCACCUUG